AGUCACGGCCAUAUCCGCUGGAAAGCACCGGAUCCCGUCCGAUCUCCGCAGUUAAACCAGUGUGAGCUUGCGCAGUACUGAAGCGGGGAGACCCUUCGGGAAAAGCGAGUGCUGUGAUUU
rnacentral:rRNA from 1 species